CCGGCUCUCACCUCCUGGCGUUUCUCACUAGGGCCUCCAAAUGUUGUACUCGAGCGAGUUAGAGAAAAUGCCACACUUUGAGACGAAUUAUGAGUCUUUAUUUAG
rnacentral:pre_miRNA from 8 species